CAUAGCUCUGUUGUGGUGGAGGUCCGUAGUCUUGAUUAGGCCUUGGUGGGGGAGGUCCAUAGCUCUGCUGUGUUGGCCCGUAGUUUUGACGUGGUUGUGGUGGUGGGCCAUAGUUCUGUUGAGGUGGUGGGCCAUAGUUCCGCGGAGGUGGAGGGCCAUAAUUCUGCUGAGGUGGAGGCCCGUUGCUCUGCUGAGGUGGAAGGCCAUAAUUCUGCUGAGCUGGAGGGGCAUAGUUCUGCUGUGGUGGAGGCCCGUAGUUUUGUUGUGGUGGAGGCCCGU
rnacentral:lncRNA from 1 species